GAAUAGGCUUUUAUCAAAGCUAUACAAUAUAAACAAACUAAUGUAU
rfam:Dictyocaulus viviparus strain HannoverDv2000 D_viviparus-1.0_Cont371.2, whole genome shotgun sequence.